GAUGAACGCUGGCGGCGUGCCUAAUACAUGCAAGUCGAGCGAACGGAUGAGAAGCUUGCUUCUCUGAUGUUAGCGGCGGACGGGUGAGUAACACGUGGAUAACCUACCUAUAAGACUGGGAUAACUUCGGGAAACCGGAGCUAAUACCGGAUAAAAUUUUGAACCGCACGGUUCAAAAGUGAAAGACGGGCUUGCUGUCACUCAUAGAUGGAUCCGCGCUGCAUUAGCUAGUUGGUAAGGUAACGGCUUACCAAGGCAACGAUGCAUAGCCGACCUGAGAGGGUGAUCGGCCACACUGGAACUGAGACACGGUCCAGACUCCUACGGGAGGCAGCAGUAGGGAAUCUUCCGCAAUGGGCGAAAGCCUGACGGAGCAACGCCGCGUGAGUGAUGAAGGUCUUCGGAUCGUAAAACUCUGUUAUUAGGGAAGAACAUAUGUGUAAGUAACUGUGCACAUCGUGACGGUACCUAAUCAGAAAGCCACGGCUAACUACGUG
rnacentral:rRNA from 1 species